rnacentral:rRNA from 1 species
UGAGUAACCUGCCCUUAACUCUGGGAUAAGCCUGGGAAACUGGGUCUAAUACCGGAUAUGACUCCUCAUCGCAUGGUGGGGGGUGGAAAGCUUUAUUGUGGUUUUGGAUGGACUCGCGGCCUAUCAGCUUGUUGGUGAGGUAAUGGCUCACCAAGGCGACGACGGGUAGCCGGCCUGAGGAGGGUGACCGGCCACACUGGGACUGAGACACGGCCCAGACUCCGUACGGGAGCAG